rnacentral:tRNA from 1 species
ACUUAAAUAAUUUAAAUAAAAUAUUGAUUUGUGGUGUCAAAAAUAUGAUAGUUUCAUUUUAAGUU